UGGAAGUUUUCAUUAUGGCGCUCCCUCAAACCCUGGUAGACUCGCUUGAAGAUUUCUAUGUCCCUCAGACUCUUGCUUCUUCCUUCUUCGUAAUAAAGAAAUUGUUGCCGAUUCAUUGAAGACCCUUGUCGACAAACGAUGUGAAAACCCUAACGCAAGUCAACAGCUCGUGCCUUAACCGCUCAGAACUCCACAGCUCACGCCUCCACCACUUGCGCAUCCAUUGUCGAGCUGAGUGUAGGUUGACCGACUUUUGAAAGCUUGCACCAUUGUUGUUGUGUGAUGAAGGAUUCGUUCGACAACCACCAUUGCAUCUUCUCACCUCAACGAGGGUUACGAAGGUAAGGAAAAAUCUUUUGGGCGUAUAUCAAUCUGUUUUGGAUAAACGAAGAAAUGAAAGGAGGGAAAAAUUACCCUGUAAAAGGGCCAAAGAUAUGAUGGUGAAGAUGUUGAAGAUCAAAAUGGAAGAAAAUUAGACAUACAAUAAAACUUCCUCAAUACUAUAGUGGAUUCUUAAUUAACUGCAGGUCAUUUUUAAGCAGGAAAGGUCUCCUAAGAGCUUGACAUGUUGAAUCAGUUUCAUCUUCACUGUUGCUUUUCCUGCACAAGUUUUUAAUAGGGGAAUAGGACAAAAGCCUCUAUGGAUUAUAUUUUAUAGGUGGGAGAGUUUGCAGAACAUACUUCUAGUCGAGUAUAAGUAGCUGAAUUUGUCACUGCGUUUCAGUUUUAUAAAUGUUCAGCUUCUAAGGUAAUGUUGAUCUGUCUCAUUUGUAUCAAAACAUAGAUAAGACUGGACAAGGAACAAGCUCUAAGCACAAGAGAUAUCCUAGAUAGGACAAAGAAAUGGAAAUUUGCUGUUGAGGAAGAAAAGUGGUUAGAUGAAUACGAAAGGGUAAACAACUUAUUUUAAAAGUUUUUGUUUAUAAAUAAACAAUAACUUAAUGGCGAUGAACUUGUGCA